CAGUCGCCGCGGUAAGACAGAGGAUGCAAGCGUUAUCCGGAAUGAUUGGGCGUAAAGCGUCUGUAGGUGGCUUUUCAAGUCCGCCGUCAAAUCCCAGGGCUCAACCCUGGACAGGCGGUGGAAACUACCAAGCCGGAGUACGGUAGGGGCAGAGGGAAUUUCCGGUGGAGCGGUGAAAUGCGUUGAGGUCGGAAAGAACACCAACGGCGAAAGCACUCUGCUGGGCCGACACUGACACUGAGAGACGAAAGCUAGGGGAGCAAAUGGGAUUAGAUACCCCCGUAGUCCCUGUCUCUUAUAC
rnacentral:rRNA from 1 species